rnacentral:rRNA from 1 species
CUACGGGCUGCUGCAGUGAGGAAUAUUGCACAAUGGGGGGAACCCUGAUGCAGCAACGCCGCGUGGAGGAUGACGCAUUUCGGUGUGUAAACUCCUUUUAUAUGUCAAGAAAAUGACGGUAGCAUAUGAAUAAGCACCCGCUAACUCCGUGCCAGCAGCCGCGGUAAUACGGAGGGUGCAAGCGUUAAUCGGAAUCACUGGGCGUAAAGGACGCGUAGGCGGGCUUGUAAGUCAGGUGUGAAAUCCUACAGCUUAACUGUAGAACUGCACUUGAAACUACGAGCCUAGAGUAUGGGAGGGGGAGAUGGAAUUAGUGGUGUAGGGGUAAAAUCCGUAGAUAUCACUAGGAAUACCUAAAGCGAAGGCGAUCUCCUGGAACAUAACUGACGCUAAGGCGUGAAAGCGUGGGGAGCAAACAGGAUUAGAUACCCGAGUAGUC